UUUUUUCCAGAUUCUACCACACACAUUUUUUUUUUUUGUAAGUCCGAUCACUGUUCGUUAUUCUGGGAGAAUUUUCACCAGUAUUAUAAAAGGAGACUGCUACAAAAAUGUCCAAAACAACAAAUAGAAAACAGGUAGAGAUCUUAAUAAGCCUAAUGGAAGCUAAGCCGGACAUUGCUCGCGGCUUCCACAAGGGCAACAUAAAGGAAGUUUCCCGGUUUUGGCGGAACCCUGAGGUGGACCAAACUCCGCAGACCCACCCAAAAAAAAAAAAAAUACGACUGAGUGGAAAAAGGUGUGGACCGACAAAAAAAAUAUGUGCCUCAAAAGGCGGCGCAAAAUUUCAAGCAGCAAAGGCACGGGUGGUGGCCCAAACACCCAACAGAAACUUUCUUCCAAUGAGGAAACUAUAUAUAAACUGAUUGGGAUGAAGGAAAGUGUUGAAGGCAUACUAGGCGUCUACUUUUGGAAAUAGAGAUACAUGAAUCUCAAAUAAGUCCACUUGUCACGGUCGGUGAGCCAUCGCUUCCACCACCACCAGUAAAUGUAGUUUCAGAAAGGAGACCUACUGUAAAGAAGCCGAAAGCAUCCUCCGACCUUCUGGAAGCUGAACUAAAGACUCAGCAAGCCUUACUAGAAGCAGUUACUGGAGCAGUUACGACGUUAACCGAACAUCACGGAGAUAAAACUAAAAGUAAAAUUUUUACUAGCAGAAACUAGCAGCUGUCAAAAUGGAUAAAGAAAAUUUCGCGCGAAAUAUUUUCAAUAGUCAAAUAUACCGAUCAGCUAAUUACUUGCUAGUUUCUGCAAGUUUUGUGUUUCUUUACCUUUUCGUUAUUUCGCUCUCUGUGAGCGUAAUUCUUUCAAUUUUCUCAUUCUUCAUUUUCCUGAUAAUUAUCUAAAAAGAAAAUAAACAAAGCCCGUGUCAGCUGACACGUUCUCCGUUUUUACGUCCGUGGGUAACUGCGC